GGGGGAAUUUUGCGCAAUGAGGGAAACCCCGACGCAGCAACGCCGCGUGAGUGGUGAAGGCUUUCGGGUCGUAAAGCUCUGUCAAGUGGGAAGAAAUCGCUUGGAGUGAAUAUCUCCGGGUGUUGACGGUACCACUGAAGGAAGCACCGGCUAACUCCGUGCCAGCAGCCGCGGUAAUACGGAGGGUGCGAGCGUUAUUCGGAAUUACUGGGCGUAAAGGGCGCGCAGGCGGUCAUGUAAGUCAGAUGUGAAAGCCCGGGGCUUAACCUUGGAAGUGCAUUUGAAACUGUAUGACUUGAGUAUGGGAGAGGGAAGCGGAAUUCCUGGUGUAGCGGUGAAAUGCGUAGAUAUCAGGAGGAACACCCGUGACGAAGGCGGCUCCCUGGACUAAUACUGACGCUGAGGCGCGAAGGCGUGGGGAGCAAACAGGAUUAGAUACCCUGGUAGUCCACGCAGUAAACGGUGAUCACUAGGUGUAGCGGGUAUUGACCCCUGCUGUGCCGAAGCCAACGCAUUAAGUGAUCCGCCUGGGGAGUACGGCCGCAAGGUUA
rnacentral:rRNA from 1 species